GACUCUCGGCAACGGAUAUCUCGGCUCUCGCAUCGAUGAAGAACGUAGCGAAAUGCGAUACCUGGUGUGAAUUGCAGAAUCCCGCGAACCAUCUAGUCUUUGAACGCAAGUUGCGCCGAGGCCGUCCGGCCGAGGCACGCCUGCCUGGGCGUCA
rnacentral:rRNA from 1 species